UGGGGAAUUUUGGACAAUGGGCGCAAGCCUGAUCCAGCCAUGCCGCGUGCGGGAAGAAGGCCUUCGGGUUGUAAACCGCUUUUGUCAGGGAAGAAAUCUUCUGAGUUAAUACCUCGGGGAGGAUGACGGUACCUGAAGAAUAAGCACCGGCUAACUACGUGCCAGCAGCCGCGGUAAUACGUAGGGUGCAAGCGUUAAUCGGAAUUACUGGGCGUAAAGCGUGCGCAGGCGGUUUUGUAAGACAGAGGUGAAAUCCCCGGGCUCAACCUGGGAACUGCCUUUGUGACUGCAAGGCUUGAGUGCGGCAGAGGGGGAUGGAAUUCCGCGUGUAGCAGUGAAAUGCGUAGAUAUGCGGAGGAACACCGAUGGCGAAGGCAAUCCCCUGGGCCUGCACUGACGCUCAUGCACGAAAGCGUGGGGAGCAAACAGGAUUAGAUACCCUGGUAGUCCACGCCCUAAACGAUGUCAACUGG
rnacentral:rRNA from 1 species